CCUACGGGUGGCAGCAGUGGGGAAUAUUGCACAAUGGGGGAAACCCUGAUGCAGCGACGCCGCGUGAGUGAAGAAGUAAUUCGUUACGUAAAGCUCUAUCAGCAGGGAAGAAACACUGACCUUACGGUCAGCAGACGGUACCUGAGUAAGAAGCCCCGGCUAACUACGUGCCAGCAGCCGCGGUAAUACGUAGGGGGCAAGCGUUAUCCGGAUUUACGGGGGGUAAAGGGGGCGUAGACGGUGCGCUAAGUCUGGAGGGAAAUGCCGCAGCUUAACUGCGGAACUGCCUUUGAAACUGGCGAACUAGAGUGCGGGAGGGGUAAGCGGAAUUCCUAGUGUAGCGGUGAAAUGCGUAGAUAUUAGGAGGAACACCGGUGGCGAAGGCGGCUUACUGGACCGUAACUGACGUUGAGGCUCGAAAGCGUGGGGAGCAAACAGGAUUAGAUACCCCAGUAGUC
rnacentral:rRNA from 1 species